UACGGGGGGGGGCAAGCGUUGUUCGGAAUUACUGGGCGUAAAGAGCUCGUAGGUGGUUUGUCGCGUUGUCCGUGAAAACUCACAACUCAAUUGUGGGCGUGCGGGCGAUACGGGCAGACUGGAGUACUGCAGGGGAGACUGGAAUUCCUGGUGUAGCGGUGAAAUGCGCAGAUAUCAGGAGGAACACCGGUGGCGAAGGCGGGUCUCUGGGCCGAUACUGACGCUGAGGAGCGAAAAGCGUGGGGGAGCGAACAGG
rnacentral:rRNA from 1 species